CCAUCUUAAUUUGUUCAUUUUCCCUCUCCACAUAUGAUAUAGGAAACCCAUCUAAGGGUAUCGCUCUCCAUCCACAGUUCGAAGCACUUCAUAUAGAGGUUUGAUAGCCACCACUAUCCUCUCAGUCUACUGUCAGAAUGACUGUCUCAUUACUAGGCUCUCCACAGUGCUCCCCUCAGUGCCGCCCUAGCAUAUCUGCUCUCCUGUCAUUUACUACUGACAAACAUCUAAUGCAAUUAUACUUUCUUAUCAAUUAGGCUACUAAGUGCUAUAUAAUUGAUAGCAAAUCGUGUGACACCUGAUCUCAAUAUAUCACCUCCAACAUACUGCC
rnacentral:lncRNA from 1 species